CUCGUAGGCGGUCUGUCGCGUCGGAUGUGAAAACUCGGGGCUCAACCCCGAGCCUGCAUUCGAUACGGGCAGACUAGAGUUCGGUAGGGGAGACUGGAAUUCCUGGUGUAGCGGUGAAAUGCGCAGAUAUCAGGAGGAACACCGGUGGCGAAGGCGGGUCUCUGGGCCGAUACUGACGCUGAGGAGCGAAAGCGUGGGGAGCGAACA
rnacentral:rRNA from 1 species